rnacentral:misc_RNA from 1 species
CACUUACAUAGACAUACAUUUAAGUGUAGACAUCACACAUUGACACGGACAGCUGAGGUAGACUACUACACAACUGACUUACAAACUUAAACUCAGUUACGUUUAGACUCUUAUUGAGAAAACACACGCUUUUAUUCUCUCUUAUGGUGUUAAAUAAUACGUGUUAACAUUACUUUUUGAACCGUGAAUAUUAAUUAUUCUACAAUUAAUAAUUUAAUGUUGAAUAAAAACUACUAAUUUAUGACCCGAAUUAAAGGAUUUAUCGGCAUUCUCUAAUUAACAAUUGAUAAAAAAUUGGCUGCUGCAAAAUACGCGCCACGUGCCGUCAUCGAUCACGUGGUAGCGCCAUUUUAUCGACCGUCUGGCAGGCCCGGGUUCACUCAUUGGAUUUCUUUAUACCACGUGAUCACUUCCUGACAUUUGUCCCCACUCCAGGAAUGUGGUGAGUUGUGUGUGUCGGGGAAGUGAGGAGAAAGCCCAGGCAAAACCCUUGAAGUUCGACAAGCUUCUAGGAACAAAGGAUUUCUGAUGUAAAACAUCUUGAAUGUUGAAAUAUUCAAUCUGAUAAGGACCAACAGUAUUUACAAGAUUAUUUUAUUAGAAUCAAGACAUUUUUUUGUUUUAUAUUAGUGAUAUCGAAUCCUGUGAUUUAUUUAUUUGUUAAAAUUACGACAAAUUUGACAGUUCACCACCAGAGAAUUGAUUAAGAAGUGUGCAAAAAAAUUUUGAAUAACGUUCAAGUGACGAAUCAAUAGCUUGGUCAAGUGAAAUAGACUUUAAACUUGAAAUUAAAAUAAGUUUCAAGAAUAAUCUCACCCACAUAUCAAUAUGAUUAGAUGAAGUAUAAAAAAUAAUUAAUAAUAAUUACGACUGUAGUUAUCAGAACAGUUUGAUUGAUUGAUUGAUUUGCUUUAAAAAGAAAAAGAUAAGAUUGAGCUUCGUACUACAAUAAAGUUAUAAGAAUAAUUUCAAAAGAUUCUUUCAAAGUAGUAGGAUAUAAAAUGUACAGUAUGAACUACAUUGGAAAGUUCAUCAGCAAUUUUCGUGACUUUUACAAAGAAAUUAAUGCUGCUACCUUAACUGGAGCUAUCGAUGUCAUUGUUGUGGAGCAAGAAGAUGGGUCUUUCACUUGCUCACCAUUUCAUGUUAGAUUUGGUAAGCUGGGAGUUCUCAGAUCCCGAGAAAAAGUGGUUGACAUUGAAAUAAAUGGAGAACCUGCGCCUAUUCACAUGAAACUUGGAGAUGCUGGGGAAGCAUUUUUUGUUGAGGAAGUAUCUUCCAGUGGAUCAGAAAAUGAGCCAGAAAUACCUCCACAUCUAGCCUGCUCACCAAUUCCAGAUGAGAGCUGUUUUCCUCCUCCUCCAAGAUUUCAUCUACUUUCUGAACUACCUCAAGAACAGCAUGAAAAAAUUCUUAGAGAUUCAGUACUAUCGAUUGAACGUGAAAAACUUGAACAAAUGUCCUCUUUACCAGCUGAUCAACGUGAAAAGUUCCUUAAUGAGCAAUUUUCGGACCUUCCUACUGAACAUCGUGAAAAAUUGCUUCAUAUUGCAUCAAUGACUUCUGAAGAGCGGAAUAAAGUAUUUCAGGAAAGUUUAAAUGCCAUGUCUACUCAACAAAAACAACAAAUGAUAAGAGAUGAAUAUUCAGCAUUAAAAAUAGAAGAUAGAGAAAGAUUAUUUAAAGAAAAUUUUCCGGAACUCCCAGCUGAACAAAGAGCAAAGUUCGAAAAAGCCCUAUUGAAUGAUUGGAAAAAUAAUGAUGAUCAGCUGCAGGAUAAUAACAAACUCACAACACAAGUUGAAGAAGAAAUUUUUGAUAUGGAUAAUAUCAAUGAAGAAGAAUCAAAGCCGACUGUUUCCACACCAAAAUCUUUCGUUGCGGUUACCUCUUCAGAAAGAAUUAGAAAAAUCAGUAUUGUUACUAACAAUUUUAUACCUAUUGCUGAUAAUUUUCCACCAGGUGUUGAAGAUAUAUCACGAGUUGAAGCUAAUGUAGAAAAAAAAUCCUUGGGUGAAGAAAACACUGAAGAAGUUAAGGUUUCAUCUUCUUCUAAAAGAAAACGACGAAAGAGAAGUAUGAAAAAGAAAGGAGCUCAAAGAAAAAGUAGUAAUGGAAGCAGUAGUCAAACAGAAGUUAGUGAGACUGAAGUUCCACAUAUUGAAGAACAAUUAAGUGAACCUACAUCAAAAGAAGUGAACCAAAUUAAAGAAGGAGAAGUUAAAAAAAUAUCAGAGACUAUAAAAGCUCCACCACAAACGGACUUCCACUUCUUCAGUGACACUGAAAUUACCAAGAACCGGGAUUCCAGGCCUUGUUCUCCUGUUCAAUCGGAUACAGAGUUUGAAAUGAGAAAGAUCGAACAAGAUAGUAAAGAGAUGAAUGAAGAUAAACGCCAUCGACAGAGUUGGAGGUGGGGUGAAUUGCCAAGUCCACCGCCGGAAGUUACUCAUACUCUUAAUACUUCUACUGCUGUCGUCCCAACCAAUGAUCAAGAGGCACAGCGUUCUAUGCUCAGUGGUAUGUUCUCCUUCAUGAAGAAGACAUCUCGCGUUAGACACAAUCCAGAAUCAGAAGGCAUUUACUUGAGCGACUUAAAUGCUGAUGAAUUGGAUCCUGAGGUAGCGGCUCUUUAUUUCCCUUCUUCUCAUCGCGGAUCAACUGUCGCUAAAGAAAGAAAAACAGUGGAUGAAGAAGAUACUGAAUCAGGAAAUGGUCCAAGCUUACCCCAAAGCCCCAAUAGUGUAGAAGGUGCUAUAGGAGGCCCAAAGUCCUUAGAUAGUGAUUUUGAAGAAUCAAAACAAUCACUAUUUGAUAAUAGGUUUGAUAUAAGCUUAUCAUUAUGUGGUGGUUUAGAUUCAGAGAAUGGCCCAAAUCAAGAAUCUUUUCAACAAAAUUUACUCCAAUUUGAAGAUAUUUGUAAUGAUGUAAAACUAUUUGAAAACCCUAAUUUGGUAGUUAAAAUCAAUGGGAAAUUUUAUAAUUGGGCCACCGCGUGUCCUAUCAUUGUCACAUUAGCUGCUUUUCAACGGUGUUUACCUCAGCCUACUAUUGAAAACUUAUAUCUGCAAUACAUUUCAUUGCCAAUUCACCAAGAUAAAAAAGAACCAAAUGUAACAAACAAAACUAAUGAGACAAGAAGUGGAGGCUACAGUUCAUGGUUUUCGUGGCGACGUUCAUCAUCCCAGCCAACUAAAAAAGACGAAGAAUCUGGUCAUGAUAAGUCAGUAGAACAAACAACUGAUAUUUCCAAUGAACUCAAAGAAUCUGAUAAUGUAGAUGAUAGUAACAUUUCAUCUAUUCCGCAAGAAAAAAGUAAAGAAGAGCUGAUAAUUAAAGUUGAAGAAUCUGACAAUAGUCUUUCUAGUACUCCAGAGGAGACUUCAGUACUGCCAAAAGAGUCAAAGAUCGAAGAGAAAGAAGGUGAAGGAUAUAGCGGAAGCGAAGAUUCCGAUAGUAAUCAAAAUGAACCACAAGGAGUAAAAAUUCCUAAAGAGCGACGUUCGUAUUAUGAAUCUAGUGAAAAAUAUCGUAAAACUUUACGACUUACGUCUGAACAAAUUGCUAGCCUAAAUUUGAAAGAAGGACUCAAUGAUGUAGUUUUCAGUGUCACCACAGCUUACCAAGGUACCUCUCGGUGCAUGUGUUGUAUCUAUCGAUGGCGAUAUGAUGAUAAAAUAGUUAUAUCUGAUAUUGAUGGUACUAUUACUAAGUCUGAUGUGCUUGGACACAUUCUUCCAAUUGUCGGAAAAGAUUGGGCCCAGUCUGGUGUUGCUCAAUUAUUUACUAAAAUUCAAAAAAAUGGAUACAAACUGUUGUAUUUAUCAGCACGAGCAAUUGGUCAAUCACGAGGUACCAGAGAUUAUUUGAGAAGCAUUAAGCAGGACGAUAUCAGUCUUCCUGACGGACCUGUGCUUUUGAAUCCUACCAGUUUAAUAUCAGCAUUCCACCGAGAAGUUAUUGAAAAAAAGCCUGAGAGAUUUAAGAUUUCCUGUCUCCGUGACAUUAUGGCACUCUUUCCUGAAAAUAGUCGUCCAUUCUAUGCUGGCUAUGGAAAUCGAGUCAAUGAUGUUUGGGCUUAUACUGCAGUAGGCAUUCCAAUUCAUCGAAUCUUUACUAUAAAUCAUCGUGGAGAACUGAAGCAUGAGUUAACGCAGACAUUCCAAUCUUCCUAUGCGUGUCAGAGCAAUAUCGUCAAUGACUUGUUCCCGCCUCUACCAAGAGCAACAGCUCACUGAUGAACACACAACCAUAGCCAAUAAAUAUUUAUAAUUAUUAAAGUAUACAAGAUCACAGGCCUACAUGGUUAUUUUUCUUUUAUAUUUAUGAUUUUUCUAUCAUAUGUCAUCACUUCAUCAUAGAAAUUAUGCAGAAAAUUCAUCUUCUAUUGUAGGCCUGUGGUAUUUGAAGAGCUCUUCAAUUUCGAAACGUUAAACUAAAUAUUGUUUAACAUUAAUCGCUAUCAUUUAUUAAAAAAUAUUUUAUUUAUUUUUAAUUUAUUUGCGAACAAAUGAAUCAAAUUGCAAUUUAUUCAUGUAGUUUUAUUAUUUGUACGGUUUUUGGUUGUGCAUCUAUUUCUUCUUAUAUUUUAUAGGAUAUUUGGAUAUGAGUUUCAUCGUCGAUCACCUAUUCCCAGCAGCGAGAGAAUAUGCAUCUGAUGAAUUCAGCUCCUUUUCCUUUUGGAGGGAGCCUUUACGCGAAAUACCACGUCUCGAUCAGCUUUGUG